rnacentral:rRNA from 1 species
AUGGCCUACGUAGCCGAGGAGGAGGAGGAGGACCCUGAGGAGGUGGAGCCGUGGAUUUCCUCCGACUCGGAGCCGGACGAGCACCCGGCGCCCGAGCCGCGGAGCCCUUCCCCCGACACGGAGCCGGAGCAGCCGCCGCCGCCGGCACCGCAGUCGCCGCCUGCGCCGACGAAUUCGGCGUCCGAGGCGGCGGAGGAGGGGCAGAAGGCGGCGCCUUGGCCCGGGUUUCCCGGCGCGAGCGUGUUCCGGCUGGUCGUGGCCGGGGACAAGGUGGGCGGUCUCAUCGGCCGCCGGGGCGAGAUCGUCAAGCGCCUCUGCGAGGUGACCCGCGCCCGCGUCCGCGUCCUCGACGCCGCGGACGGCGUCUCCAGCCGGAUUGUCUUGAUAUCCGCAACAGAAGAAACACAAGCAGAACUGGCACCUGCUAUGGAUGCUACAGUUAGGAUCUUCAAGCAUGUAAAUGAUAUAGAAGGGAUCAAUCCUGAUGUCACAUUAUCUGCUUCUGCACCAGAAAUUUGUUGCGCUAGAUUACUGGUUCCUAAAGCACAAGCGGUGCACUUAAUUGGCAAGCAAGGAACCAUGAUCAAGUUAAUGCAAGAAACUACUGGUGUUACCAUAAGGAUUAUAGAUCAAGACGACCUUUUGAGCAAUCAGAUGGUGGUUGAAAGAAUUGUGGAGAUACGUGGUGCUUCCCUCAAGGUCCUCAAUGCCCUAAAAUCAGUACUUGGACUUCUCCGGAAGUUCCUAGUUGAUCAUAGCGUCCUUCAUCUAUUUGAAAGAAAGAACCAAGCAAUGGUUCAGGUGCAGGAUAGUUCUGAAGAAAAUCAGGUUACGGUUACCAAUGGUUAUGCUCUUCCAGUGAACCAGGACCUUUUGUUAUCUGACAGUCGAAGUCCUCUCAACAUGAGUGGCAGCAGAUAUUUGUUGUAUGGACGAGGCCCAUCUGUUUGUGACCCAUAUUCAUCAGAUAUCAGACACCCAACCGUUCCCUUAAUACCGAAGAUUACGCAGACAAUGCAGAUCCCUUUGCUGCAAGCUGAAGAGAUAAUUGGUGUCAGGGGACGGACCAUUGCUCAUAUACGUUCUGUCAGUGGAGCGGUGGUUGUCCUCGAGGAAACUGGAAAUUAUCUGGAUGAGGUUCUAGUUUCAAUCAAAGGCACUUCUUCGCAAGUUCAGACUGCGCAUCAACUCAUACAGGAGGUCCUACUGGGCGACAGAAAAGUUCUACCACCCAGGAGCAGCGGCUACGGCAACCCUGACGCUGGCCCGGUCAGGCCGCGGUUCGACCCGUGCGGCGCUCCAGCGAGUCCGGAGUACGCCCCGCCUCUGUACAGCGACUACCUGUCAUCGUCCAGCAGCGUCCGCCACUAUCACUCUGCUGCUUACCACGGGUACAGGCUGUAG